ACCCCUACGGAGGCAGUAGUGGGGAAUAUUGGGCAAUGGGCGCAAGCCUGACCCAGCAACGCCGCGUGAAGGAAGAAGGCUUUCGGGUUGUAAACUUCUUUUCUCAGGGACGAAGAAAGUGACGGUACCUGAGGAAUAAGCCACGGCUAACUACGUGCCAGCAGCCGCGGUAAUACGUAGGUGGCAAGCGUUAUCCGGAUUUAUUGGGUGUAAAGGGCGUGUAGGCGGGGGCGCAAGUCAGAUGUGAAAACUCAGGGCUCAACCCUGAGCCUGCCUUUGAAACCGUGUUUCUU
rnacentral:rRNA from 1 species